rnacentral:lncRNA from 1 species
CACCACAUGUUUCGCAUUCCCGUCGUUCAAAGGGAUCAAAACCAGAUCUUCGAUUGGGCCGCCCCUCUCCUCAGUGAGGUCAUCGUGGGCAUCCAGCCCAUCAACUGGACAGGGGUCAGAUUGGUCGCUUCUUUGCAGGGCUAUGUUGUAGCAGUGUCUGGCCAGGGCUUGGUCUCCUCUGACCUCUCCGAUCCCCUGGUUGGUAGAAAAUUUUAACUUCAAAUAGUAGGUUGACACGACAGCUCGGAGAGCAUUGAGGCCAGGUCGGUCGAGG